AACGAACGCUGGCGGCAGGCCUAACACAUGCAAGUCGAGCGCCCUUUCGGGGGAGCGGCGGACGGGUGAGUACCGCGUGGGAAUAUGCCCUUCUCUACGGAAUAGCCUCGGGAAACUGAGAGUAAUACCGUAUACGCCCUGUGGGGGAAAGAUUUAUCGGGGAAGGAUUAGCCCGCGUUGGAUUAGGUAGUUGGUAGGGUAAUGGCCUACCAAGCCGACGAUCCAUAGCUGGUUUGAGAGGAUGAUCAGCCACACUGGGACUGAGACACGGCCCAGACUCCUACGGGAGGCAGCAGUGGGGAAUCUUAGACAAUGGGGGCAACCCUGAUCUAGCCAUGCCGCGUGAGUGAUGAAGGCCUUAGGGUUGUAAAGCUCUUUCAGCUGGGAAGAUAAUGACGGUACCAGCAGAAGAAGCCCCGGCUAACUCCGUG
rnacentral:rRNA from 1 species